rnacentral:misc_RNA from 1 species
GAUGAAGAACGUAGCGAAAUGCGAUAGGUAAUGUGAAUUGCAGAAUUUAGUGAAUCAUCGAGUCUUUGAACGCACAUUGCGCCCCCUGGUAUUCCGGGGGGCAUGCCUGUCCGAGCGUCAUUGCUGCCCUCAAGCACGGCUUGUGUGUUGGGCCUCCGUCCUCCUCCCGGGGGACGGGCCCGAAAGGCAGCGGCGGCACCGCGUCCGGUCCUCGAGCGUAUGGGGCUUCGUCACCCGCUCUUGUAGGCCCGGCCGGCGCUUGCCGACACAUCAAUCUUUUUUCCAGGUUGACCUCGGAUCAGGUAGGGAUACCCGCUGAACUUAAGCAUAUCAAUAAGCGGAGGA